rnacentral:rRNA from 1 species
AAAGUGGGGAAUAACUGCUCGAAAGAGCGGCUAAUACCGCAUAAGCUGUAUGUUGUUGGACAUACAGGAAAGCUCCAUCUUCGGGCAACCGAGGGAGGGGCGCUAAGAGAGGGGACUGCGGCGGAUUAGCUAGAUGGUGGGGUAAUGGCCUACCAUGGCGACGAUCCGUAGCUGGUCUGAGAGGACGACCAGCCACACUGGGACUGAGACACGGCCCAG